AGAAUUUACAAAGGAUAACAGGGUGGUGGGUGUUUUAUGGUCUAACAAAAGGGACAGUGGCCUUUGGUUUGCUCCAGCUGAAUGGAGAGAGUGUAGACUUGGAAUUCAGGUCUUACCCAUUUUGCCCAUUACUGAAGUUCUGUUUUCAGACGUUCAGUUUGUGAAGCAGUUGGUCGAAUGGACACUGCCAGCUCUGGCAAGGGAAGGUGGGGUUGGAGAAGGGUGGAAAGGGUUUGUGUAUACAUUGGAAGCAAUAUAUGAUAAAGUGGGUGCUUUGGACAAAACUAGGAGUUUAACUGGAUUUGAUGAUGGAAACUCGCUUUCAAAUCUACUGUGGUGGAUUCAUACUAGAGAUGAUAAAGUGGAGGAAAGUGAUAAAGGAAGCAAGUUCUGCUGGUUCCGACACUACUCUCAUUAAGUUUUAUGGUGUGUUACAUUUGGAAUGUCCUUUUAAGGCUUUAAUUGAGUAUACUCAAAAUAUGACAUGAUCAGAACAAAAAAGAAGGUUAUUUUGUUUCGUAAUUUGGUACCUGUCGUUUCUUUUGUUUGUAUAUAAAUUGGAUCAUUAGUCUGCAGCUCAAUGCUUUGCGAUAUGAUUGCUGUAAGUUCUUCCCCGAUCUUAGUUGUUUUAAAUAAAAGCUCAAAUUUUAUAAUGUCUAACCAAAGUUUCGGUUCCUUAGGAUGAAAAACAAAAAUGUUAAAUACCAUGAAUAAAUAAUUUGCUGAAUCGAUCAUUGGUGUACCUGUAAUCUCCUAAUUUAGUAGGUGAAGCCAUGUAUAUUGUUACUGAGCUGAUCUUUGUGUAUCUGAGGUUGGUUCCAGACAUUUCCAAUAUUAGAUGUGAAGUUAUGAAAUUGCGUCUGGUGAAGGAUAUUAAUGUUCGCAGACAUAAAUACUUAAUUUGGAUUUCUGGUGAGAUAUACAUUAAAAAGGAAGUAAAAUAUCUGCUUGUUAUGAAUGGAGACUAAAUCUAAUCAACCAAAUCCCUUGUAGCACUGAAAAAAUAAAACACUUGUUUGCAAAUCAAAACUUAUUGAUCAUCCAGUGAUCUGAAAAUUCCAAGCCGAAAUCUUUCUGUGCAAUGCUCUGCUUGAAAGUCGUCGUUCUUCGAUCUCUGUUCUUGUUUUGGACAUCUCUGUCUCCAUUGUUGCCCAAUUCUUUGACCCCUUUUCAGCUUUUCAUCUAGCAGGUAGCCGUUGGUCCAAAUUUGUCUUGAAAUCUGGGCACUGUUCGGUUUUGUCUCCUUUCUGUUCUCCUUUUUCUUUUUAAAUCAAAUUUGCUGCUGCUGGUGAAAUUUUUGGACCUGCAACAAUUGUCACUUCCAAUGUUCUUUACUUUUUAGGCAAGUAAGAGGGUAGAAGCAAAGGAACAUUAUAACAUCGUUUAAGAUGAGGUUUCGGUGUCCCAAGACUUAGGAAAAGAGUAGGCUCUGUUGAAGUCUUGCUUUUACUAGAAUGCUUGAGGGAGUAUUCUGCAUCUGAUCUUACUUGGUAUUGGAGUUAGGUCUUGGUUGUUUACUAAGUAUUCAUAAAGUUGUCGAAUUCUUUGCUGAUUGUUCAUUCAUAACUGUUUCUCUAAGUGCAAUAAGAGUUUAGUAAGAUGGGAAAAUCUCAUAAAGGGGAAUGAAGUUAAUGUCAGCUGUAAAGAGGAAUACAAAGAUGUCUCAGCGCUAGUUAAGCAUAUUCAUGCACCUGAUAUUUGAUAAUUCAAGUGAAAAACUGGAUCAACCAUUCAGGUGCAUAGUCUACUAAGGCCACACUGUGUCAUUGCUUUUUAAUUAGCGUAACUGUUGAAUGUAUAUGAGUUUAAAAUGUCUGAUAGGAAAACUUUGAAACUUGUGAUGUGUUGCAUUUUGUACCUCGUGUGCGUCUCACUAUUUUGGAGUUGAGAUACCAAUGCUUCUGAUGACAAAGGAGUAAUUUCUGUUGAAUUUGUAUCUGAUAAUGUAACUUCUUGCCUAUCUCUUGUUUCUCUGCUUAAGGCAUGUGAAUUGACCAGUGUAUUAUAUGUUGGCUUUAUAGAGUCACAAGAUGCUGUAACACCUUUUCAUAUUCUGGGACGUCAACCUCAGAUAGUUUCAGGUACUUAAUUGCGUGUACAUUCUUCUCUAUCAGAGUAAAUGGGUAUGGUUGAUCUGAUUGAUUUUUGUUUUAGUGCUCUAUAUUAUAUGCUUCUGAUCAUGUUGAAGGCUUGAAGCCAUAAGAAAAGGUGUUAUGUUGCAAAAUAUUUCUGCAAAAUGUGUUAUGUUGCUGCUUAAAUCUCUAGUAGAAAAGACCUCUUCCACGUAUAUAUAGAUUCAGGUUUUGAGGAUGUGUCAAUCUGAAAAGCCUUUUGUAAAGGCUACCAAUCUGACCAGCUAGUUAUGGAUAUGGCCUCAAAGGUGAAGAGUCAUAUUUGGAGCUUAGUUUGAAUUUUUUCUUGAAUCAAACUCAGCUAAGUAUUUGUUGGGGCUAAAAACAUAUAUUGCUUCUGAAUAUGGGAUGUUUGGCUCUUUAUUGGCCAUUCCAUAUGGCAUAUGCAUGAAGGAGGAGCCGUAGAACCAUGACAAACAACAACCUGGAUUCAAGAGUUAACUUCACAUUAGGCGUAGGCAUGUCAAAUAGUUCUAGAGGCAUUCUCAUUCAAGUGACGCACUGGAUUACCAUUUUCAACAAGUGUGAAUCAUCUGAUGUGAAUGUGAUACGUUGACCUCAGCCUUCAAGAUGUGGCUAGUGGUGACGGUCCUGAUAUUCUUGCUCUACUUCUACAAAAAUCUUUCUUAUGACACACCAAGAAUCUGGAAAAUGUAAUUAGCCGCAUUUAUUAUUCACGAUAAAUUAAAUAAUUUAAUCUUAAAAGUAACAAAUUAAA